GACGAACGCUGGCGGCGUGCUUAACACAUGCAAGUCGAACGGAAAGGCCCUGCUUUUGUGGGGUGCUCGAGUGGCGAACGGGUGAGUAACACGUGAGUAACCUGCCCUUGACUUUGGGAUAACUUCAGGAAACUGGGGCUAAUACCGGAUAGGAGUUCUUGCUGCAUGGUGGGGGUUGGAAAGUUUCGGCGGUUGGGGAUGGACUCGCGGCUUAUCAGCUUGUUGGUGGGGUAGUGGCUUACCAAGGCUUUGACGGGUAGCCGGCCUGAGAGGGUGACCGGCCACAUUGGGACUGAGAUACGGCCCAGACUCCUACGGGAGGCAGCAGUGGGGAAUAUUGCACAAUGGGCGGAAGCCUGAUGCAGCAACGCCGCGUGCGGGAUGACGGCCUUCGGGUUGUAAACCGCUUUCGCCUGUGACGAAGCGUGAGUGACGGUAAUGGGUAAAGAAGCACCGGCUAACUACGUG
rnacentral:rRNA from 1 species